rnacentral:rRNA from 1 species
GUGGGGAAUAUUGGACAAUGGGGGCAACCCUGAUCCAGCCAUGCCGCGUGCGGGAAGAAGGCCUUCGGGUUGUAAACCGCUUUUGUCAGGGAAGAAAUCCUUUGGGUUAAUACCUCGGAGGGAUGACGGUACCUGAAGAAUAAGCACCGGCUAACUACGUGCCAGCAGCCGCGGUAAUACGUAGGGUGCGAGCGUUAAUCGGAAUUACUGGGCGUAAAGCGUGCGCAGGCGGUUUUGUAAGAUCGAUGUGAAAUCCCCGGGCUCAACCUGGGAACUGCAGUGGUGACUGCAAGGCUGGAGUGCGGCAGAGGGGGAUGGAAUUCCACGUGUAGCAGUGAAAUGCGUAGAGAUGUGGAGGAACACCGAUGGCGAAGGCAGCCCCCUGGGCCAAUACUGACGCUCAUGCACGAAAGCGUGGGGAGCAAACAGGAUUAGAUACCCGAGUAGUCC